UACAGAGGUCUCAAGCGUUGUUCGGAUUCAUUGGGCGUAAAGGGUGCGUAGGCGGCGCGGUAAGUCGGGUGUGAAAACUCGGGGCUCAACUCCGAGCCUGCAGUCGAUACGGGCAGACUAGAGUGCGGUAGGGGAGACUGGAAUUCCUGGUGUAGCGGUGAAAUGCGCAGAUAUCAGGAGGAACACCGGUGGCGAAGGCGGGUCUCUGGGCCGUAACUGACGCUGAGGAGCGAAAGCGUGGGGAGCAAACAGG
rnacentral:rRNA from 1 species